AUGUGUGCCGCGGGACGCGCUGCUUCUCUGGACAGGAAUGGAGACCGUGCGUCGGAGCGCAGUGCCACGGGCGCACGGAGGCAGCCGCGUCCCGGCGACAGUUUCCCAGCUCUGCACAAUCCAGACAAGGACAAGUCUACCCGAGUUACCAACACGACGCUCAUUUCAGUCACCACCAAGCUCAAAGCGCGCCGCUGGCGCCGUACACCGUCAUCCAACCGCAGCAGGGAGGCUAUGUGCAAACCGCGGGAAAUAACGGCAACAGGAGGACGAAUGCGAGAACCAUCACGGCGGAGGUGUUCCACCCUGGCUGCGCCGGGGGGGACCUGCCCGACCACCGUGGCUCAACGCCCGACAAGUGAUGACGGCGCAACGCGCGAGUGCAAAGGGAUCGGAUGUAAGCUGCCUCCUCGGAUGCGCCAGAAGCCGAAGCCGUGCGUCGGAGACGGUUGCGGCGCGCAUGCAGGAGACGACGGGAGGGGACCCUCUUCACCUGUGCACGUGACCGACACAGCGGCGCAAUUUCUGGAUGAGUUUCCAGACUUGGCGUCGGAACGUGGCGCCUGGAUACAGUUGACAUGUGACAUGAAACCAGGGACGAAUGACCUCCCUUCGGAGGACGCGCUUGUGCUGCAGCUGCAGUUGUCUAAGAGCCAGGAGAAGCUGGUUGAGGCCCUCAGGGGCCAGCAGGACGAGGUCCAGGAGCUGCAGAGGCUCCUCGGUGAGCAGCAGGGGACGCUGGUGAGCCAGCAGAGAGAGAUACUGGAACAACAGAGGAAGAUGUAUGACCAGAUGGAGCAAGUCAAAGCCCAGUACAUCACAAUGAUGGACAGCCUCAAACAAACAUCACUCCAGAACCUCCAGGGGGGGCUAGACCGUCACAUGGAGACCGCGAGUGGGCAGGUUAGAGCUCACCAAGCACAGCAGGCUCUCUCGCUGCACAAGGUGGACAUGGAGGCCAGCGUGAUGGAGGUGGGGCGCUCCCUGUUGGCUUGUGGGAGCUGCGGCCCUGAGGAGUACUGUGGCUUCAGCAGCGGUCAUCCUCGCUGUGAGAAAUGUACCGUGUGUCCUGCCGGCUUCUUCCUUGUCGCCCAGUGUUCAGUCCACGCAGACAGGAUCUGCCAGGACAGAGAUGAAUGCCUUGAAAUAGCUGAUUCGUGCAGAGACCAACAGAAGUGUCUCAAUACUCCAGGUGGAUUCAGGUGCCAGGGCAUGACAGAGCGUGAAGCCAAUUCAGGAAUGUGUGGCCACGGCUACUUCUACGUCUUGGACAUGGACGAGUGUCAGGCCUGUAAUGAGUGCGAUGGCGAGCCCGUGGCUUCACCUUGUACCUUUACCAAAGAUACCAUCUGCUCUGGCCAUGCUGCUGCUGGUGGUGAAAGCGCCCUUUCUUUGUCCUGGUCCGGAGAUGUGAGGCUGUCCGGCACCAAAGGCCAAAUCCUGGCUCACGCCUUCCCUGGCGUGCAGCUUCGCAUCCAGGGCAGAGGCGACGCAGGUCUGCUGUCCGCUGAGGACGGCCGCCUGACGCUCAGGCAGCACGGCCUGGUCUGGCUGGAUGAGAAUCUGUCUGUGAGCCACGGCUGCCGGAGCUUCAUCCAGUUGUGUCUCCGUAUCAACAACACGGACGGCUCGGAAGGCCGCGACCUCAGCGGCCUAAGGGUCGAGCAGCAGGAGGGAAGGUCGCUCCAGAGCGUCAGCAUCAGCGGCGUGGCAGAAGUCGCCCCGGGGAACACGAUUUCCCUCUUCCUCCGGAGCGCCAGCCGGCACUGUAACGAAAGCAGCGAAGGCCUGCAGCUGUACGACCCUUUAGCAGCUCCGCUCAGCCUCUUCUGGCUCUCCCACGACACGGGGGGCCGUCGCCAUGACAGCACAGGCUAUUGUGUCCGCGCACUACCACACAAACUAUCGGCCGGUCUUCCGCACCUCCUCCACCUCUGA
ensembl:lncRNA